rnacentral:sRNA from 1 species
ACGCUGGGAAAUGUAGUUUCCAAUUUGCCACUAAUAGGCCUGAGGAAUGGACACAAGAUGGCGCCCGAGCGUCGCAGUUGGUUCAAACGAGCAGUAGUCUCUGCCGACGCUGUUGCUGCGGCCUGACGAGAGGCUGCCCAGGCCUGAAAGGUCGAACUCUUGGAUGCCCUGCCUCUGGGGCGUCUACCUUGCCGAGUAGGGGCCGAAGCCGGAGUUAAGAGGAGGGUUUGAUAUUGCUGUGUUUUUAAACAGCCUAAUGAGGUGUUACCCUGACUCUGGGUAUGGGGUGACCACUGGUGAUCCUGCGUCGGCAUAAGGAGAAGGCUUUGAAGGGUCCUUGUGGAUAAGAGGUUGCUUGGAGAGGCGUCCAUGACUGUAUCCCUGCUUUUUAAGCUGAGCAUGCAGGACGCAGAGCUGCCCGACACUGUUGAUCUCACCAGCCUUCAGCACUAGCUCAGCAAUCUGAUGUGACUCCUGCUUAGCUGCCGGAGGAAAGGCAGCCCCAGAUUUGCUCAGUAAUGGAACUAGCUUCCCUGUAUUCCUCCUUCUGACCUCACGGAAACCACACAGACUGAUUUAAAUGACUCUUAUUCCAGAGAGACUCAGAAGCUGAGCCCUAGCUGUGUGUAAAUGAACUGCGUUGCUUUAAAACAGAAACCAAAGAGACAAGGGGGUGCUUAUGGCUUUCCAGUUUUGAGUACAGGAAAGUGAUGGAGCCAGGGCUGAGGCCCACAGUUCCCCUCCCAGAGAUACCCAGCUCUUCUGGACUUUAGUGUGAGGAUAGGCCUGGGAAUUCCCCCAAGGGUUUGGGAAAGGCACAUUUAUGAAACUGGAUGUACUGUGAUGUUCAUGUCUGGUGUCAGUUCCUCUCAGGACAUUAAGGGAGGCACUGGGCACACUUACCCCUGAUCCGUGUAGUGUGCCAGUGUCACAGGCACAGAGCACAGUCUUGGCACUGGGCACACUUACCCCUGAUCCGUGUAGUGUGUCAAAUGUCACAGGCACAGAGCACAGUCUUGGCACUAGGGUGAAUAGGAUAAUGAUGGGAGCACUAAUUCAAUUAUUUCUUUAUUUUUAAUUUUUUUAGACAAGGUCUUACUGUAUAGCCCUGGGUGUCUUCAACCUCCCCAUGUAGGCCUCAAAUUCAGAGGUCUCUCUCCCUCUCCCUCCAAAGGGUAGGGAAUAAAAAGCCUGUGCCCCUAUGCCUUAGCCACUAAGUGUUCUUACAAGCUGAGAUGAGCAGAAGCAGCCCCUAGGUGGGUGGGGUCACUGAUAACCAUGGGCUGGCUUUGAAAACCAGGCUUUCUUAGAACCCAAAAUAGAAAAUAUGUUUAAGAAGUAGCAUCGAGGGGUUGGGGAUUUAGCUCAGUGGUAGAGCACUUGCCUAGCAAGCACAAGGCCCUGGGUUCGGUCCCUGGCUCUGAAAAAUAGAAAAAAAAAAAAAGUAGCAUCGAAUGUCCAAAAGGGAGUUCAGCUUCAAGGAUAGGCUUGGUCUCUUAACCAUAUUGGUGGCAACAGCUUCUACUUCCUCAUAGUUAACUCCUUUUUAGCUGUCCCAGCAGAACCAAACCCCUGCUCCCAUACAGGGUUGCUCCCCCUGGACCUGUUGAUGGACAGAAUGGCUAACAUCUUCUCAGGCCUUGCCCUAGAGAUGAGGAGAUAGCACGGGCUACCUCUAUCCCUCCUCCAACACCACUCAACCAGAACAGGUCUGUUAGAGGAAACCUGAGAGACAUGAGAAGCUGGAGAGGGCAGUACAGACAAAAUGCAGAGAAGAUUCUGACCGAAUGACAGACGGCUUUGUCACAAAGGGAAAACACUUAAUAUGAAAAUGUCUUUUAUUUCUCAGUACAAAGCCAGAUACUAUACGACUAUGAAAAACUUGACUAGCCAGAGAUCUUCAAGAACAA